UAUGGGAAAAGCAGGUGAAAAU
rnacentral:miRNA from 1 species